AUUGAACGCUGGCGGCAGGCCUAACACAUGCAAGUCGAGCGGAACGGCGGACGGGUGGGUGAGGACUGGGUAUCUACCUGGUGGUGGGGGAUAAAUUCCGGAAAGGGACGCUAAUACAGCAUGCUUUCAAGUGCGUCUAGGUCGGAUUAGCUAGUUGGUGGGGUAACGGCCUACCAAGGCGACGAUCCAUAACUGGACUGAGAGGAGGAUCAGCCACACUGGAACUGAGACACGGUCCAGACUCCGACGGGAGGCAGCAGUGGGGAAUAUUGGACAAUGGGCGAAAGCCUGAUCCAGCCAUGCCGCGUGUGUGAAGAAGGUCUUCGGAUUGUAAAGCACUUUUAGUUGGGAGGCGUUACCCGAAGAAGAAGCACCGGCUAACUCCGUGCCAGCAGCCGCGGUAAUUC
rnacentral:rRNA from 1 species